GUGGCAAUCAGUGUUUUGUCACUGCUGGGAGGAGGUGAGAAAGGCCUGAUUUUGAGCUGUUCUCUUAUGGUUAGCGAGUCGAACUAUGAAUCUGAGACUCCGUUGUUCGGGCUACGCACUUCAGAGCCGUGGUACGUUAUAAGAACAAUGGUCAAAUUCCAAUAUUCGGUCUGACAAGAAUAGCCCAAGAGUUGACGAUGAAAAGAUGUUUGAACAGAAGAAACGUAUUCUUCUAAUGAUUUCCGUCAAGGUUUGAAAUAUUUUGUUUUAAUCUUGCAUGGGUGUUUCUCUGCAUGAACCCUGGUCUCCUUUGUUCUCGCACCAUCUUCUAAACUAUCUGUAGUGGUGGCGGUCUAAUCUCAUGAGGUAACUCUGGAUAGGCCUAUUUCGGGGUACCUAGUGAGAUGCGAUAGGCACCAUGUUUCUCACCAAUCUAACCACCUUCACGUCUGUUUGAAAUCAACAUACAGCAAGGACUGCUCUUGUAUUAAUGGUGGUGGAUGGAAAGGGUUUAAUUUUUUCUUUCUGUUUUUUUUUCCUAUGAAUUUUCGAAUGUUUUUCUCCUCCUAUGAUUUUUUCUCAUAUCAAAUUACUCACGAGAAAAACAUUCGAAAAUUCCAAAUUGUAUUAAUAAAACUGAAUGUAAGUAAUAAAUAAAUAUGAUUUAAAAUAGUUUAAUUGAUUAAUACUCUAGUAGUUUCGUUUGUUAACUUUUAGUGAUUAAAAUUUAUUAAUAUACAUGGCUAUAGUUUCUGUGAAUUUAAGUUUUAUCUCAGCAGAUGGUAGCAUUAUACACAUGGAGUUAAUAAACACGACACAAGUUUACGGUGGUAGUUAGGCCUAAGGUAUCUUCAUCGAUUGGUAAAAUCGUAACAUGAGUUUUUAGUGUUGAGAAGUAACACAGAAAUCGUAACUUUAACAUAAUUUGUGUAAACGAAUAAAAUUCUACAUAAGAAAAAACUUAUAAAAGCGUUAAUUUAUUGUAAAUACUACUAUUAAUAUCGUAGAAAAUUAAAAUAUAUUAUGUUUGAAAAUAAAACAGUUGAAAACCCAAGUACAUUAAUUCAAUUUGAAGAAAUAAAACUUGAAUGAACUAUUUGGAUUAAAGUAAUCAAUAAUAUAAUUAACUCGUUUUACAGGUUUGUGGACAUUUGCUGUAAGACCCUAAUUUUGAAAUGCUUGAAAGAAUUUCACGCAAUUUGUGAAGUCUGUAAUAUUAACUUGGUGACAUGUUUUCAGGCAUGCUGAGUUAGUUGUUUGCUGAAUUGUAUUUUAUUUAGUUUUGCAGUUGACUUGACACUUUUCUUUAUAUAUUUUUUAUUUGCCCCAAAUUUUAUUGCUGCAUGUUUUUGUAUUAAAAUAAAUACAUAUAUGGUAGUUAACUAAUUCCCCGUUAUCUAAUCAUUUUUCAAAGAAAAAAUAUCAAGGUACUUUGUAGAAAUUAAAAAUAUUGUCGUAACAAACCAUUAUUUUUUUUUUCUGUCUUGAAAACUACUUUAAACCGUACAUUGCCGUGCUUAUAUUUUUGUUUUGGUCAUUCCCAAAGCAUGGUGGGACAGCUUCCAGUAGAUGAGUAUUACAUCAGGUACUGGUAUUUUUGAUUUCAUAACCAGUACUUAUGUGAUAUUCGUCUUCUGUUUGCGGCAUGCAUCGGUUCGUUUCCUGCACGAUGUGUUGUAUCACUACGCCAUCUCGUGACGCUUCGAGUAGUAUACUGUUACGACAAUACUGUUUUUAACUGAUUUAUAUUUAAUGCAAUUAAUUUUCUUAGCACAUUAAAAAAAUUACUGUGAAAUUGUAGUUUUUUUCUCCAAUAAGUCUGUGUCAGUCAUAUUAUUAGACAUGAAAAAUGCGUUGUUAUUAUCGAACUGUUGUAUACAAAUAAAAAAUAUUUGAAUAUCAUUUUAGUAAUAGUAUGCCUUAUACAAAAUGUUUACUAAAUAAAUA
rnacentral:lncRNA from 1 species